rnacentral:misc_RNA from 1 species
AAGAUAAUUUUAUUUAUAAAAUUGUAAAAAAUUUAAAGUUCAAUGACUUUAUAAAAACACUCAGUUGACUGCAUUUGAUAUUUACCCUGUUUGUCUUUUCAUUGGGUGGGAGGGGUGAAUUAAAUAUUCUUUUUUUUUUAAUUUUAUUUUAGUUUUCAAAAUGUUCAAGAUUAGAAAAUAGAGACCUUUUUUUUGUAUUUCUUCUCUUGUGAUGGAAAGCUGUUGAGAGGAUCAAGCUAAAUGAAGGUAGUGAUUUGUUACUACUGUUAAAGAAAACAGAAAAAUGUGUGUUCUUCCUUUCUUCCAUUCCUUUUAUUUGCUUACGACACUUGAAUGGGAUACUUUAUGGGGAGAUUUUUUUUUUUUACUGCAGACAAUCUCUGUAAGAGAACAAAGAAAGCAACACAUAAGUAUGGUGUAUAUAUGUUCUUUGCAUAAGUAAUGCAAAAUGGUGCAAUGCUUGUCUUUGCAAUGUGUAUGGACUAGCUCAGUCAGUUGUGUAAGUAUUUUUGGUAAUGGCUGAAUCAGUUGAGAAUCAGUUGGGAGGGGGGGAAUCUUGCUCUAAGGGGAAGGAAAACUUCUCCUGCUCCUAACAGUGGCUUGCUUAGGACUCUUUGAUUUCUGGUGAUGUGUUUACAUUUUUCCAUUGUUCAUACUUCUAUAUGCUUUAUUCACACUCUUUUCUUACAAAUAAUUUGCCUUUAUGUAUUUAGGAUUUUGGAUUGAUGAUCCCAAAAGUAGGAUAUUUUGUGAUUGUUUCUUUGGAUAUUAAAGCAAAAUUUCCAGAAUCAUCCGAAUACAUUUUAGUAGUUACUGAAUGGUUUAGUAUCUGAUGAUGAUAAUAUCAAGAAAUCCUACUUGCUAACUGUUUUUUGUGUUGGUCAUGAACAGAUGAUGACUUCAGGGAGUUUGUG